rnacentral:sRNA from 1 species
AAUACCCUGUAAAGUCGAAGUCUUAAGUUUGAACUUGAAAGAUAUUUAGACAAUACAGGGUAUU